UGGGGAAUAUUGGACAAUGGGCGCAAGCCUGAUCCAGCCAUGCCGCGUGAGUGAUGAAGGCCCUAGGGUUGUAAAGCUCUUUCAACGGUGAAGAUAAUGACGGUAACCGUAGAAGAAGCCCCGGCUAACUUCGUGCCAGCAGCCGCGGUAAUACGAAGGGGGCUAGCGUUGUUCGGAAUAACUGGGCGUAAAGCGCACGUAGGCGGAUUGGAAAGUUAGAGGUGAAAUCCCGGGGCUCAACCCCGGAACUGCCUUUAAAACUAUCAGCCUAGAGGUCGAGAGAGGUGAGUGGAAUUCCGAGUGUAGAGGUGAAAUUCGUAGAUAUUCGGAGGAACACCAGUGGCGAAGGCGGCUCACUGGCUCGAUACUGACGCUGAGGUGCGAAAGUGUGGGGAGCAAACA
rnacentral:rRNA from 1 species